GUAUAUAGAGGUGGUGUGUAUAGAGGUGGUGUAUAUAGAGGUGGUGUAUAUAGAGGUGGUGUAUAUAGAGGUGGUGUGUAUAGAGGUGGUGUAUAUAGAGGUGGUGUGUAUAGAGGUGGUGUGUAUAGAGGUGGUGUAUAUAGAGGUGGUGUGUAUAGAGGUGGUGUAUAUAGAGGUGGUGUGUAUAGAGGUGGUGUAUAUAGAGGUGGUGUAUAUAGAGGUGGUGUGUAUAGAGGUGGUGUAUAUAGAGGUGGUGUGUAUAGAGGUGGUGUGUAUAGAGGUGGUGUGUAUAGAGGUGGUGUGUAUAGAGGUGGUGUAUAUAGAGGUGGUGUAUAUAG
rnacentral:lncRNA from 1 species